rnacentral:rRNA from 1 species
GAUGAACGCUAGCGGCAGGCUUAACACAUGCAAGUCGAGGGGUAUAGUAGCAAUACUAGAGACCGGCGCACGGGUGCGUAACGCGUAUGCAAUCUACCUUUCACAGAGGGAUAGCCCAGAGAAAUUUGGAUUAAUACCUCAUAGUAUAGUACCUUGGCAUCAAGGAACUAUUAAAGUCACAACGGUGAAAGAUGAGCAUGCGUCCCAUUAGCUAGUUGGUAUGGUAACGGCAUACCAAGGCGACGAUGGGGUAGGGGUCCUGA